rnacentral:misc_RNA from 1 species
AUCCAGGCCUAAUGGUUGGAAGUAGUUCGUGCAACUGAACGGAGAAAGCUGAUUCUGACGCAAGGAAGGUUAAUGAUUCUGUUUUUCUUUUUUUCCGUUAUGCUUCUGUUUAGUGGUGGAGCUUGCUUCCGUUACACUAUAAGGUCUUGUUACUUAGCUAUAUUGUUGUUAUUACCAUAUACGUUAAGUUUAACUUCAUGAUGUCAUUGUUAUUGCCAGACAUUAGAACUUUAUUCAAAUAAUGAUAUGGAUGUGAAUGAUAUGGAGUUGGAGGGGUCAAGAAGGAUCAUACCAUGGCCUAAAUACACUAGGCUGGCUUGCACUCAAAAUUUCUAAACAAAUUUAUGCUUCAAUCUUAGGACAAAAGUUAGAUAAUUUGAUGUUGUCUCUUAUUGUAUAAUUCAUCUUUUGUCU